GAUGAACGCUAGCGGGAGGCCUAACACAUGCAUGCCGAGCGGGAUUUGUUGGUUAGCUUGCUAACUAACAAUGAGAGCGGCGUACGGGUGCGUAGCACGUGUGCAACCUGCCUUUAUCUGGGGGAUAGCCUUUCGAAAGGAAGAUUAAUACCCCAUAACAUAUUGAUUGGCAUCAGUUAAUAUUGAAAGCUCCGGCGGAUAGAGAUGGGCACGCGUAAGAUUAGCUAGUUGGUGAGGUAACGGCUCACCAAGGCUGCGAUCUUUAGGGGGCCUGAGAGGGUGAUCCCCCACACUGGUACUGAGACACGGACCAGACUCCUACGGGAGGCAGCAGUGAGGAAUAUUGGACAAUGGGUGAGAGCCUGAUCCAGCCAUCCCGCGUGAAGGACUAAGGACCUAUGGUUUGUAAACUUCUUUUAUACAGGGAUAAACCUACUCUCGUGAGGGUAGCUGAAGGUACUGUAUGAAUAAGCACCGGCUAACUCCGU
rnacentral:rRNA from 1 species